CUCAGAGGAUGAGCAGCCCACAAAAAAACGGUUUCCCCAGGCACCUCGAGUGAAAAUACCAGCCCUCACCACUCCGCAGUCUUCCCCCCAGCCCACUGACAGCAGUCAUCAUAAUGCCCCUCCCAGCUUCCGGCACCUUUCGCCACUCCGGCAGAACACUCCAAACGACACAGCUUUGCAAUCAGCAUGCAGAGUCUGACGUCGAGGCCUUCCCUAUAGAUGAUUCCAGAGACUCUGUGAGGCCACUAUUACAAG